GACAGAGGAUGCAAGCGUUAUUCGGAAUUACUGGGCUUAAAGAGUCCGUAGGCGGCGCGGAAAGUAGGGUGUGAAAGCCCUCGGCUUAACCGAGGAAUUGCGCUCUAAACUACCGUGCUUGAGGAACCUAGAGGUGAGCGGAACUGAUGGUGGAGCGGUGAAAUGCGUUGAUAUCAUCAGGAACACCGGAGGCGAAGGCGGCUUCCUGGCCUGUUCUUGACGCUGAGGCGCGAAAGCUAGGGGAGCAAACGGG
rnacentral:rRNA from 1 species